AGUAAAAUGGCUGAAUAAAGGCGAUAAAUUGUAAAUUUAUUUAUGAUAUUUUUAUCUUUUACUA
rnacentral:tRNA from 1 species